UGAUUGGAAUUCCUCCUACGGGAGGCAGCAGUGGGGAAUCUUGCGCAAUGGCCUAACGGCUGACGCAGCGACGCCGCGUGAGGGAUGACGCUCUUCGGAGUGUAAACCUCUUUUGCCUGGAACGAACUAUCAGCAUUCGCUGAUUUGACGGUACCGGGUGAAUAAGCACCGGCUAACUCCGUGCCAGCAGCCGCGGUAAUACGGGGGGUGCGAGCGUUGUCCGGAAUCACUGGGCGUAAAGGGCGCCUAGGUGGCAUGAUAAGGGUGUGGUGAAAGCCCGGGGCUUAACCCCGGGUCGGCCAUGCCGACUGGCACGCUAGAAUACUGUAGGGGCAGGCGGAAUUCCGGGUGUAGCGGUGGAAUGCGUAGAGA
rnacentral:rRNA from 1 species